CAUCAUACUUUGCUUUUGCUGUGCUUGGGAGCUUGAUGGUCAUAUGGUUUGUACUGCAUAAUUACUGGGAUCUAAAUAUUUGGCUGGCAGGCAUGUCCAUAAAGUCCUUUUGCAAACUCAUAGUUGCAAGUGUCAUCCUAGCCAUGGCUGUUCCUGGUUUAGCUUUUCUUCCAUCGAAAUUUCAUUUCUUAGUUGAGGUUGGUUUGAUCAGCCAUGCCUUGCUGUUAUGCCAUAUUGAGAAUCGUUUUUUUAAUUACUCGGGCAUAUACUUCUAUGGAUUGGACGAUGAUGUGAUGUACCCAAGCUAUAUGGUUAUUAU
rnacentral:misc_RNA from 1 species